rnacentral:rRNA from 1 species
UACGGAGGGUCCAAGCGUUAUCCGGAAUCAUUGGGUUUAAAGGGUCCGUAGGCGGUUUUGUAAGUCAGUGGUGAAAGCCCAUCGCUCAACGGUGGAACGGCCAUUGAUACUGCAAGACUUGAAUUACUAGGAAGUAACUAGAAUAUGUAGUGUAGCGGUGAAAUGCUUAGUUAUUACAUGGAAUACCAAUUGCGAAGGCAGGUUACUACUAGUGGAUUGACGCUGAUGGACGAAAGCGUGGGGAGCGAACAGG